UUCUUUUUUUUUUCAUACUACACCAGAAGAGUGUUACAUUUUGAGAGUCAUACAAAAUUUGGGACUAACUUUGAAGUUUUGUAACUUACUUUGAGCUGGAGAUGUUUCUCAUGUUUCGUUUUUACAAUCAUGACAAUGGUAAACUUAAUUUCUUUCUUCUAAAGAUGUAAUUUCUGAUUGUCUCUCCAAGUUCAAACAUGUGCCUUUCUUAACCAUCAUACGGCACAUAGAGGAACUUGGAAACAAAGCCCAGAUUAAUGACAAUUCAUUCUUUCCCAAACAUUGCAGACCGGUGUCAAUAAUUAUCAUAUUUAAUGAAUUACGUUUACCUAUUGUAAAACGCUUCAAUGACUUUGACAAAAGAUUGCAAUGCAGACAAAUGAUUACAAGUGACUGGGAAUAGAAAAACGUCAUAAUUACGUCAGCAAAAUGGUGGUUUUGACGCUUACAAUACAAAUGAAGAUGAAGUAAUAUAGCUGUCAAAAUAAAGCAGAUUUGUUAUCAGAUAAGUAAAUUAUAUAUAUUUUUGAUUAUUUUUUUUUGCUGAAUAACUAUUUGUUGAAGCAUUAUAAUAAUUAUUGAUUAAUUAUAAUAAAUAUAAAACACCAGA
rnacentral:lncRNA from 1 species